rnacentral:rRNA from 1 species
CAGCAGCCACGGUAAUACGUAGGUGGCAAGCGUUGUCCGGAAUUAUUGGGCGUAUAGGGCUCGCAGGCGGUUUCUUAAGUCUGAUGUGAAAGCCCCCGGCUCAACCGGGGAGGAUCAUUGGAAACUGGGAAACUUGAGUGCAGAAGAGGAGAGUGGAAUUCCACGUGUAGCGGUGAAAUGCGUAGAGAUGUGGAGGAACACCAGUGGCGAAGGCGACUCUCUGGUCUGUAACUGACGCUGAGGAGCGAAAGCGUGGGGAGCGAACAGGAUUAGAUACCCCCGUAGUCCCUGUCUCUUAUAU